rnacentral:rRNA from 1 species
GCAGAAAUGUUUACAUGGAAGCGUUCUUAGCGGCGGACGGGUGAGUAACACGUGGGUAACCUGCCUCAAAGUGGGGGAUAGCCUUCCGAAAGGAAGAUUAAUACCGCAUAAGCCUACAGUGCCGCAUGGCACCGUAGGAAAAGGAGCAAUCCGCUUUGAGAUGGACCCGCGGCGCAUUAGCUAGUUGGUGAGGUAACGGCUCACCAAGGCGACGAUGCGUAGCCGACCUGAGAGGGUGAUCGGCCACAUUGGAACUGAGACACGGUCCAGACUCCUACGGGAGGCAGCAGUGGGGAAUAUUGCACAAUGGGCGAAAGCCUGAUGCAGCAACGCCGCGUGAGUGAUGAAGGCCUUCGGGUCGUAAAGCUCUUUGAUCAGGGAUGAUAAUGACAGUACCUGAAAAACAAGCCACGGCUAACUACGUGCCAGCAGCCGCGGUAAUACGUAGGUGGCGAGCGUUGUCCGGAAUUACUGGGCGUAAAGGAUGCGUAGGUGGAUACUUAAGUGGGAUGUGAAAUCCCCGGGCUCAACCCGGGAACUGCAUUCCAAACUGGGUAUCUAGAGUACAGGAGAGGAAAGCGGAAUUCCUAGUGUAGCGGUGAAAUGCGUAGAUAUUAGGAGGAACACCAGUGGCGAAGGCGGCUUUCUGGACUGUAACUGACACUGAGGCAUGAAAGCGUGGGUAGCAAACAGGAUUAGAUACCCUGGUAGUCCACGCCGUAAACAAUGGGUACUAGGUGUAGGAGGUAUCGACCCCUUCUGUGCCGUCGUUAACACAAUAAGUACCCCGCCUGGGGAGUACGGUCGCAAGACUAAAACUCAAAGGAAUUGACGGGGGCCCGCACAAGCAGCGGAGCAUGUGGUUUAAUUCGAAGCAACGCGAAGAACCUUACCUAGACUUGACAUCUCCUGAAUUACCCUUAACCGGGGAAGCCCUUCGGGGCAGGAAGACAGGUGGUGCAUGGUUGUCGUCAGCUCGUGUC